UUAAAUUAAUAAGGGCGUACGGUGGAUGCCUUGGCAAUUAGAGCUGAUGAAGGACGCAACUAACGGCGAAACGCUUCGGGGAGUGGUAAGUACACAAUGAUCCGGAGAUAUCCGAAUGAGGAAACUCAAUAGCGGUAAUGCGCUAUUAUCCAUAAGUAAAUACAUAGCUUAUGAGAAAGCAACCCAGUGAAUUGAAACAUCUUAGUAGCUGGAGGAAAAGAAAACAAUAGUGAUUCCCUUAGUAGCGGCGAGCGAACUGGGAACAGCCCAAACCAACUUAGUGUUGGGGUAGUAGGACCACAAUGUGGGACUCAAAUGAUUAGAAGAACGGCAUUGAAAGGCCGGCCAUAGAAGGUGCAAGCCCUGUAUUUGAAAAUCCAAUGAGCCCUAGUGGCAUCCUGAGUACGGCGGGGCACGUGUAACCCUGUCGGAAACAGCCGGGACCAUCCGGUAAGGCUAAAUACUCCUAAUUGACCGAUAGUGAACCAGUACCGUGAGGGAAAGGUGAAAAGAACCGCGGAAGCGGAGUGAAAUAGAUCCUGAAACCGUAUGCUUACAACAAGUCAGAGCCCGUUUAGGGGUGAUGGCGUGCCUUUUGUAGAAUGAACCGGCGAGUUACCAUGUCGUGCGAGGUUAAGUAGAAAAUACGGAGCCGUAGCGAAAGCGAGUCUUAAUAGGGCGAUAGUACGACGCGGUAGACCCGAAACCAGGCGAUCUAGCCAUGAUCAGGUUGAAGGUUGGGUGAUACCAACUGGAGGACCGAACCGACCACCGUUGAAAAGUUGGCGGAUGAAUUGUGGCUAGGGGAGAAAUUCCAAUCGAGCUUGGAGAUAGCUGGUUCUCCCCGAAAUAGCUUUAGGGCUAGCGUCAAAGUGAAGUCCUAUGCAGGUAGAGCACUGAAUAUGUGAUGGCCUCAUCCCGAGGUACUGAAUGUAAUCAAACUCCGAAUGGCAUAGCGAUAUAUUUGGCAGUCAGACUGUGGGUGAUAAGGUCCAUGGUCAAAAGGGAAACAGCCCAGAUCAUCAGUUAAGGUCCCAAAAUUCUUACUAAGUGGAAAAGGAUGUGGGGAUGCACAGACAACUAGGAGGUUGGCUUAGAAGCAGCCACCCUUCAAAGAGUGCGUAAUAGCUCACUAGUCGAGUGACCCUGCGCCGAAAAUUUACCGGGGCUAAGUAAGAUACCGAAACUAUGGAUGGUAUAGAAAUAUACCGUGGUAGGGGAGCGUUCUAAUCCGCAUUGAAGGUGUACCGUGAGGAGCGCUGGAGCGAUUAGAAGUGAGAAUGCCGGUGUGAGUAGCGAAAUGUCAGUGAGAAUCUGACACACCGAUUGCCCAAGGUUUCCAGGGGAAGGUUCGUCCGCCCUGGGUAAGUCGGGACCUAAGAUGAGGCCGAAAGGCGUAGUCGAUGGACAACGGGUUGAUAUUCCCGUACCCGCGUACAAGUGAUGGAGUGACAGAGAAGGCUAAGAUGAGCCGGCGAUUGGUAGAGCCGGUCUAAGCGAGGUAGCAGUGUUGUAGGCAAAUCCGCAACACAAUGUGAAGACGUGAUGGGGAGUGAACGGGUGACCAAGUAACGAAGCAUCUGAUGCCAGCUUUCAAGAAAAGCUUCUAGCGUUAAUUGUAUGGCGGCCCGUACCAAAACCGACACAGGUGGGCAAGGAGAGAAUCCUGAGGUGAGCGAGAGAACUGUUGCCAAGGAACUCGGCAAAAUGACCCCGUAAGUUAGCGAGAAGGGGUGCACGAAAGUGUCGCAGUGAAGAGGCCCAAGCAACUGUUUAACUAAAACACAGCUCUAUGCAAAGUCGCAAGACGACGUAUAUGGGGUGACGCCUGCCCGGUGCUGGAAGGUUAAGGGGAUUUGUUAGUCGCAAGACGAAGCUUUGAACCGAAGCCCCAGUGAACGGCGGCCGUAACUAUAACGGUCCUAAGGUAGCGAAAUUCCUUGUCAGGUAAGUUCUGACCCGCACGAAAGGCGUAAUGAUUUGGGCGCUGUCUCGGCAGCAGACUCGGUGAAAUCUUAGUACCUGUGAAGAUGCAGGUUACCCGCAACUAGACGGAAAGACCCCAUGGAGCUUUACUGUAGCCUGAUAUUGAGUUUUGAGCAAGUAUGUACAGGAUAGGUGGGAGACUAAGAAGUGUGGACGUCAGUCUGCAUGGAGUCGCCGUUGGGAUACCACUCUUGCUUGUUUGAAAUUCUAACCGACACCCAUGAUCUGGGUGCGGGACCGUGUCAGGUGGGCAGUUUGACUGGGGCGGUCGCCUCCUAAAGAGUAACGGAGGCGCUCAAAGGUACCCUCAGAUUGGUUGGAAAUCAAUCGACGAGCGCAAAGGCAGAAGGGUGCUUGACUGCGAGACUUACAAGUCGAGCAGGGACGAAAGUCGGACUUAGUGAUCCGGCGGUGCAGUAUGGAAUGGCCGUCGCUUAACGGAUAAAAGCUACCCUGGGGAUAACAGGCUGAUCUCGCCCAAGAGUUCACAUCGACGGCGAGGUUUGGCACCUCGAUGUCGGCUCAUCGCAUCCUGGAGCUGUAUUCGGUUCCAAGGGUUGGGCUGUCCGCCCAUUAAAGCGGUACGUGAGCUGGGUUCAGAACGUCGUGAGACAGUUCGGUCCCUAUCUGUUGUGGGCGUAGGAAAUUUGAGGAGUGCUGUCCUUAGUACGAGAGGACCGGGAUGGACAUACCUCUGGUGCACCAGUUGUCGUGCCAACGGCAUAGCUGGGUAGCCAAGUAUGGAUCGGAUAAACGCUGAAGGCAUCUAAGUGUGAAACCGGCUCCAAGAUGAGAUUUCCCAUUCCUAGUGAAGUAAGACCCCUUGAAGACUACAAGGUUGAUAGGUCAGAGAUGGAAGCGCAGUGAUGCGUGUAGUUGACUGAUACUAAUAGGUCGAGGAUUUAAUCAC
rnacentral:rRNA from 1 species